CAUGGGUGAUCAGUACUUCACAAGUGUGGUGAAUUCUUUUAUUGAAUUAUUUCGGAUGACGAGAUAAUACUGAAUUUUGUGGAACAUAUGGCAUGACUGAAAAAAAUCCCCAGAUUACAAAUUAGAAGAGACCACUUUUACUAUUGAAAUGACGAAGAAUUUUACAUAGGUUAUCAAAAGAAACGGUUGUUUACUUGCUCAAACAAAUUAGUAAUAUUAUAAAGCUUGGUACUGAUUGGAAUCAUACAUUUACACCAAUGGAAAUGCUGCUUAUUACCUUAAGGUUUCAUGCAUCGAGAAGUUUUUUAAUGAUAUUUGGAGAUUUUGCCACUUACGAUACAUAGCAGGCUGCUUCUCGAGACAAGCUUCAACUGGACAAACUUAAACUAUGGUUUUAACCAUUUAAGUAAUGCAAGUAAUUACUAGUUUAUGAGUGCACUACACAUAAUAGGUAUAUUCCCUGCUACAGAUCAAGAAGAACGUUCGGUAAAACAAAAAUUUUAUAACAGCACGUUUUCCUCCCAUUGUUGGAGCACUUGAAUGUAUAAACAAAGCCCUUGAGUAAAUUUAUGAUUGAAGUUGAUCAAGACUCAUAACCCCAACAAAAUGUCAAAUGGCAUAAAUUUAGAUACUGCAAAAGUUCAGAGGCUGUUGGUGGUAGCUGCAGUAAUGCAUAAAAUAACACUUGAUUGUAAUGAAGAUGAUCCACCUGCACCAGAAGAAAUUGUUUUUAUGAAGCAAGUAAUGUGUCGUUAGACCUUGCACCAAAUAUUUAACAAUUUUGUUAAAAAUGGAGUAACAUUUUGAAAAUUUAUAAAAUGUGGUUUGUUUUAUUUUUUGCGUUAAUACUUCUUUUUUUGUAAGAACCUUUGGAGCUUGAGUAAAUGUUCUCUUACAAAUACUGUGAAA